rnacentral:rRNA from 1 species
UACGUAGGGUGCGAGCGUUAAUCGGAAUUACUGGGCGUAAAGCGUGCGCAGGCGGCGCGUUAAGACAGGUGUGAAAGCCCCGAGCUUAACUUGGGAAUUGCGCUUGUGACUGGCGUGCUGGAGUGUGGCAGAGGGAGGUGGAAUUCCACGUGUAGCAGUGAAAUGCGUAGAUAUCGGCAGGAACACCCAGGGGGAAACCAGCCGACUGGGCAAGUGCUGACGCUGAGGUGCGAGAGCGUGGGGAGCGAACCGG